UACGUAGGUGGCAAGCGUUGUCCGGAAUUAUUGGGCGUAAAGCGCGCGCAGGCGGUCCUUUAAGUCUGAUGUGAAAGCCCACGGCUCAACCGUGGAGGGUCAUUGGAAACUGGGGGGACUUGAGUACAGAAGAGAAGAGUGGAAUUCCACGUGUAGCGGUGAAAUGCGUAGAGAUGUGGAGGAACACCAGUGGCGAAGGCGGCAUCCUGGACCGGUAUUGACGCUGAGGCGCGAAAGCCAGGGGAGCAAACGGG
rnacentral:rRNA from 1 species